rnacentral:rRNA from 1 species
UCGCUAGUAAUCGCGAAUCAGAAUGUCGCGGUGAAUACGUUCCCGGGCCUUGUACACACCGCCCGUCACACCAUGGGAGUUGGAAGCACCCGAAGUCGGUGACCUGACCGAAAGGGAGGAGCCGCCGAAGGUGAAGCCAGCGACUGGGGUGAAGUCGUAACAAGGUACC